GAGUUUGAUCCUGGCUCAGAUUGAACGCUGGCGGCAUGCCUUACACAUGCAAGUCGAACGGCAGCACGGGAGCUUGCUCCUGGUGGCGAGUGGCGAACGGGUGAGUAAUGCAUCGGAACGUAUCCUGGAGUGGGGGAUAACGUAGCGAAAGUUACGCUAAUACCGCAUAUUCUGUGAGCAGGAAAGCGGGGGACCUUCGGGCCUCGCGCUCUUGGAGCGGCCGAUGUCGGAUUAGCUAGUUGGUGAGGUAAAGGCUCACCAAGGCGACGAUCCGUAGCAGGUCUGAGAGGAUGAUCUGCCACACUGGAACUGAGACACGGUCCAGACUCCUACGGGAGGCAGCAGUGGGGAAUUUUGGACAA
rnacentral:rRNA from 1 species